GCUUACAGCCAUACCACCCUGGGUAUGCCUGAUCUGGUCUGAACUCGGAAGUGAAGCAGGGUUGGGCCUGGUUAGUACUUGGUUGGGAGACUGCCUGGGUAUACCAGGGGCUAAAGGCA
ensembl:rRNA 5S_rRNA 5S ribosomal RNA